UACGAGGGGGGCGAGCGUUGUUCGGAAUUAUUGGGCGUAAAGGGUGCGUAGGCGGCCUGACAAGUCUGAUGUGAAAUCCCUGGGCUCAACCCAGGGCCUGCAUCGGAAACUGUCGGGCUUGAGUAUGGGAGAGGUGAGUGGAAUUUCCGGUGUAGCAGUGAAAUGCGUAGAGAUCGGGAGGAACAUCAGUUGCGAAGGCGGCUCUCUGGACCAGCACUGACACUGAGGCACGAAAGCGUGGGGAGCAAACAGG
rnacentral:rRNA from 1 species